rnacentral:rRNA from 1 species
UACGAGGGAGGCGAGCGUUGUUCGGAUUUACUGGGCGUAAAGCGUGCGCAGGCGGUUUUGUAAGCCAGAUGUGAAAUCCCCGGGCUUAACCUGGGAAUGGCAUUUGGGACUGCAAGGCUGGAGUGCGGCAGAGGAGACUGGAAUUCCUGGUGUAGCAGUGAAAUGCGUAGAUAUCAGGAGGAACACCGAUGGCGAAGGCAGGUCUCUGGGCCGAUAUUGACGCUGAGGAGCGAAAGCGUGGGGAGCGAACAGG